GCCCAAGGUGUUCCUGACCGCUUUCUUCUCCCUGUCUUUUUAAAAGUUUGUUUCUUACCUUAUGGACAUGAUAGAAUCUCUGUAGGUGUAGCCGGAGGUGUUCCUGACCGCUUUCUUCUCCUCGUCCGAAGCCCCAUCAUAUGGGCACUCCUACCCCACUGUCUCUCACGGAAUUGCUCGCCGUAGUAACCCGCUGCCGCCGCCGUUCGUGCAAGAUCCGGGCAAGCCCAAGAAUCUCUGUAGGUGUAGCCGGAGCGUGCCAUCUCCAUCGCCAAGUUCCGGUCGGAGCUCUGUUCAACUCCGGCGGCCUUCCGCCACUGCCACGUGAAGAGGCCGAGGUCAGGGCCUUGUCCUGCGAACUCCCACCGACCUCCUCUACGCCAAUCAGUUGUUCGUUGACGCCAGAGACCAUCGUCUCCAACUCCAGCGAAACUCCGGCGACACUCCGAUAUAUCAUAACGAGAAGAAGAGGCAACUCGAAGUAGAAUAUUUCCUCUUCGAGAACUCA